rnacentral:tRNA from 1 species
GGAGAGAUGUCCGAGUGGCUGAAGGGGCUCGCUUGGAAAGCGAGUGUAGGGGCAACCCUACCGGGGGUUCGAAUCCCCCUCUCUCCGCCA